CUCAUUCAUUUUCUUUCUCUUUGUUUCUUGUUCGGCCGACCAUAACUUUAGAAGAAAUUGUUUUUCCGGCGAGAAUUUUCGGUGAACUCAAAUACCAAAAUCCUUCCUCCCUCACUCCUGAAUUCGGUGGCAAAGUGUCCUCUAAGGGGAAGGAGCUCGCCGAUCAGUGAGCACGUCUCGGGAUGAGACGACUGGUUCUACUGCGACGUUGGACAGAGUUGUGUUGUGCAACAGUAGAGUGAUUUGUAUGUUCUCCUUGUUUAGGUUUGUUAUAGUAUGCAUUUAAACUUUAUGGAUCAACUAGACUUGAACUUUAUAUAUUGUUCAUGUAUUUGUAUUUUCUGGUUGUAUCUGAAACCCUGGUUUGUA